AAACAGGGAAGGACAGAGACAGAAACAGGGAAGGACAGAGACAGAAACAGGGAAAGACAGAGACAGAAACAGGGAAGGACAGAGACAGAAACAGGGGAGAGCAGAGACAGAAACAGGGGAGGACAGAGACAGAAACAGGGGAGAACAGAGGCAGAAACAGGGAAGGACAGAGACUGAAACAGGGGAGGACAGAGACAGACACAGGGGAGGACAGAGGCAGAAACAGGGGAGGACAGAGGCAGAAACAGGGAAGGACAGAGACAGAAACAGGGAAGGACAGAGACAGAAACAGGGAAGGACAGAGACAGAAACAGGAGAGGACAGAGACAGAAACAGGGAAGACAGAGGCAGAAACAGGGGAGAUCAGAGGCAGAAACAGGGAAGGACAGAGACAGAAACAGGGAAGGACAGAGACAGAAACAGGGAAGGACAGAGACAGAAACAGGAGAGGACAGAGACAGAAAAAGGGAAGACAGAGGCAGAAACAGGGGAGGACAGAGACAGAAACAGGGAAGGA
rnacentral:lncRNA from 1 species